rnacentral:sRNA from 1 species
UACAAAGGCAAAACGAGAUGAAUUCUUUUCUCAGAAUUUAAUAUUGCUAUUUAAAAAGCUUUGUGUAAAACUUUCUGUGGUGCAUCUUUCCUCUGGUGUUGAAUAAAAACAAGGACUAGAGGAAUGGUCAUAAAUUUAAGUGGGAUUAUAUCUACAUGGUGACCACCAUGUGACCACAAAUUGCCUUUGAAUCAUUUUCAGUCUCUUUUUUAAUAAAUUAUUUGUGGUAUUUCUAGUACUGAAGGAGUUUUGAUAUUUUAUUCUGAAUUAUUCUCCAUUUAAGAGUUUAUUCUCACUGCUUAUCAGAUAUUUUCUGCCCUUUGUAGCUAAACCCAAAGUGAACGUGAAGCCAUCUGUGGUUAAAGUUGUGUCAUCCCCCAAAUUGGCCCCAAAACGUAAGGCAGUGGAGAUGCACCCUGCUGUCAUUGCCGCUGUGAAGCCACUCAGCUCCAGCAGUGUCCUACAGGAACCCCCAGCCAAAAAGGCAGCUGUGGCUGUUGUCCCGCUUGUCUCUGAGGACAAAUCAGUCACUGUGCCUGAAGCAGAAAAUCCUAGAGAC